UUCAUACGCGUUCCCUCGAGCCCGUCGACCAAGUCCUUUUCUCGCACAAAUUUUCCCCCCCGUUCCUUCUUUAUUCCUCGCGAUUCUACCACCACCACCACCACCACCACCGACGACACCAACCACCACCAUCGCACCGUUAACCCCUCUCUUUUCCCCUUCGGGUGCUCUGUCGUAUCUUUUCACUCCUGUUGUCUGGAUUCUCAGUACGUUUUCUCGGUGUCGUCCCGGCGGCGAUCUCGGUUCGAACGAAACCUCUGGGGGCCGCGUAUAUUUUUGUGCGUUGCGCAGGGUCUCGUUCGAUCGCACGCGCGAAACGAAACAACAGAGCCCGACCGAAGUUUCUCUUUCGAAAUCUCUCUCCGUUGCUUUUCUUUUUUUUCCCCUCCCCUCACCGCAUCUUGUAGAUCUCGAAACGACGCGCGUGAUAUCCGGGGAAUCGUGUUUCCUUUUUUCGAUUUUCUUUCUUUUUUUUCGUUUUUUUUCACCUCCUAUUCCUUUUCGACGAUCUUUCAUCGCGGUCGUGAUCGUCCAGGCAGCAGCGGCGACAAGCGGCAACCGCCCGCAACACCGAACGGAACGGGCGUCCGUGACACGAUCCAGGGAAUCGAGCGAUUCCGUUGUUCGUGGUUGCAAAUACGACGAGUGGUCCGAAAGCGCGAAUAAAUGUGUCGGUCACGGUACAAGACGUGAAGCGGGGGCAUACACGGCAAGUGAGUAUAUUUUUAGUGGCAAGCGCCAAGCGCUAAGCAGAGUGGUAUAAACGGGGCGCGCAGUGGCCUGAUGAAGCGGCGUAUGUGACAUCAAAUUUCUCUCUCUUGCCACCUCGAAGACACCGAGACAUCUUGCAGACCAUCCCGCGCUGUUGGUUCUCCAAUUACCUGGAGGCCAGUGGUGUCAGUGACACCAGAGAAUAAUACGAGCUGCUAGCGUGAAGAAGUAUAGUAGAGUUGGCUUAGGCCAACACCGGUGGACCAGGCAAAAUGGCAACAAUAGAUGGCCGACCAGCCCAAUAUGGUAUCACUCUCAAGCAACUUCGUGAGCUCAUGGAGCUCAGAGGACGCGAAGGUGUCAAUAAAAUCAAUAGUUAUGGUGGUGUGCAGGAGAUUUGUAAAAAGCUAUAUACUUCACCUAACGAAGGUCUUAGUGGAUCGGCGGCAGAUAUCCAACAUAGACGUGACACAUUUGGUUCCAAUAUGAUACCUCCAAAACCACCAAAAACGUUUCUACAAUUAGUAUGGGAAGCUUUGCAAGAUGUAACAUUAAUCAUCUUAGAAGUUGCGGCAUUGGUUUCGUUAGGUCUUAGCUUUUAUCACCCAUCAGAUGAAGAAGACGACGAAGAACACGUGUCGAUAGAUGAAGAUGAAGCAAAAUACGGUUGGAUCGAAGGACUUGCUAUAUUGAUUUCUGUAAUUGUGGUCGUAUUAGUAACCGCUUUCAAUGACUAUUCUAAAGAAAGACAAUUCAGGGGUCUCCAAAGUCGAAUAGAAGGGGAACAUAAAUUUUCUGUCAUUCGACAAGGAGAGGUUAAACAGAUCUCUGUAUCUGACAUUGCUGUGGGUGACAUAUGUCAGAUAAAAUAUGGAGACCUGCUGCCUGCAGAUGGUAUCCUUAUACAAAGCAACGAUCUCAAGGUGGAUGAAUCCAGUUUAACCGGGGAAUCGGACCAUGUUAAAAAGGGAGAAUCGUUCGAUCCCAUGGUACUCUCAGGUACACACGUGAUGGAGGGCUCUGGAAAAAUGUUAGUUACCGCAGUAGGUGUUAACUCACAGGCUGGUAUUAUCUUCACUUUGUUGGGUGCUGCUGUUGAUCAGCAAGAGCAAGAAAUCAAGAAGAUGAAGAAAGAGGCUAAGAAGCAGCGGAAGAAGAAGUCAUUAACAGGGGACGAAGCUGUAGAGAUAACUGGAAACAGUCACGUGAGCGGAGGUGCGAAACACGAGGGCGGAGAGAACCAUCAGGCACCGAGUCACGGAGGUGGUGGAGAAGGGAAGAAAGAAAAGAGUGUUCUUCAAGCCAAGCUAACUAAACUCGCCAUACAAAUCGGUUAUGCCGGCUCGACCAUAGCAGUGCUUACCGUUGUCAUUCUAGUCAUUCAGUUCUGCGUAACGACGUUUGUCAUAGAGAAGAAACCUUGGAAAAAUACGUACGCUAAUGAUCUGGUGCGGCAUUUGAUCAUUGGUGUAACGGUACUCGUAGUCGCCGUUCCCGAAGGUCUUCCUCUAGCUGUCACCUUGUCUCUCGCUUAUUCAGUUAAGAAAAUGAUGAAAGACAACAAUUUGGUGCGACAUUUGGAUGCCUGCGAAACGAUGGGUAACGCAACAGCAAUUUGUUCGGACAAGACUGGUACCCUGACUACCAACCGGAUGACGGUCGUUCAGUCGUACAUAUGCGAGAAGAUGAGCAAGACGAUUCCAAAGUUCUCGGAUAUACCGAGCCACGUUGGGAACCUGAUAGUUCAAGCUAUCUCUAUUAAUUCGGCGUACACAUCCAGAAUAAUGCCCUCGCAGGAUCCUACAGAGUUGCCGCUUCAAGUCGGCAAUAAAACCGAAUGUGCCUUACUUGGAUUCGUAGUAGCCCUGGGCAUGAACUAUCAGACGAUACGAGACGAUCAACCUGAGGAAACCUUUACGCGGGUGUACACGUUCAAUAGCGUUAGGAAGAGCAUGUCUACCGUCGUCCCGAGGAAAGGUGGUGGAUAUAGGCUCUUCACCAAGGGCGCUUCCGAGAUCAUUAUGAAGAAAUGUGCCUUUAUAUAUGGUCGCGAAGGUCAUUUGGAGAAAUUUACCAGAGAGAUGCAGGACCGUCUGGUAAAGAACGUAAUCGAGCCAAUGGCGUGCGACGGACUUCGUACCAUCUCCGUCGCUUAUCGUGACUUCGUUCCUGGCAAGGCAGAGAUCAAUCAGGUUCACAUCGACAACGAGCCAAAUUGGGACGACGAGGAGAACAUAGUGAACAAUCUAACGUGUCUGUGCAUCGUUGGUAUCGAGGAUCCGGUACGUCCGGAGGUGCCGGACGCGAUUAGAAAGUGUCAGAAGGCGGGUAUCACUGUGCGAAUGGUGACGGGAGACAAUAUAAACACUGCACGUUCGAUCGCUCUGAAAUGUGGCAUCCUGAAGCCGAACGAGGACUUCCUUAUCUUGGAGGGUAAAGAGUUCAACAGGAGGAUCAGAGAUAGCAACGGUGAAGUACAACAGCAUCUUUUGGACAAAGUGUGGCCAAAGUUGAGGGUGUUGGCUAGAUCCUCGCCGACAGACAAAUACACCCUGGUUAAGGGUAUAAUCGAUAGUAAAGCGACCGUCAGUCGCGAGGUCGUUGCCGUUACCGGCGACGGUACGAACGACGGUCCAGCUUUGAAGAAAGCUGACGUCGGUUUCGCCAUGGGUAUCGCCGGUACCGACGUAGCAAAGGAAGCUUCCGAUAUUAUUCUAACGGACGAUAAUUUCUCGUCGAUCGUGAAAGCAGUUAUGUGGGGUAGAAACGUCUACGAUAGUAUAGCAAAGUUCUUGCAGUUUCAGCUGACUGUCAAUGUCGUCGCUGUUAUAGUUGCUUUUAUCGGGGCAUGUGCCGUGCAAGAUUCCCCCCUUAAAGCGGUGCAGAUGUUGUGGGUGAAUUUAAUCAUGGACACGUUAGCGUCUCUCGCAUUGGCCACCGAAUUGCCUACGUCUGAUCUUCUUCUCCGCAGACCGUACGGUCGCACGAAACCGCUCAUCUCCAGGACAAUGAUGAAGAACAUUCUCGGUCAAGCUGUCUAUCAGUUGACCGUCAUUUUUAUGCUUCUUUUCGUUGGUGAUAAGAUGCUCGACAUCGAAACAGGCCGAGGUGUAGCACAGGCUGGCGGCGGUCCCACGCAGCACUUCACCGUCAUCUUCAACACGUUCGUCAUGAUGACUCUUUUCAACGAAUUUAACGCCAGGAAAAUCCAUGGUCAGCGUAAUGUCUUCCAAGGAAUAUUCACCAACCCCAUCUUUUAUUCUAUCUGGGUCGGCACGUGUUUGUCACAGGUACUUAUCAUACAGUACGGUAAAAUGGCGUUCAGCACGAAAGCUCUCACAUUAGAACAAUGGAUGUGGUGCCUGUUCUUCGGAGUCGGUACUCUAUUGUGGGGCCAAAUAAUUACGACAAUUCCUACGCGCAAGAUUCCUAAAAUCCUUUCAUGGGGCCGCGGCCAGCCGGAUGAUAUCGGUGUGAUCAAUCUCGGAGAUGAGAAAUUCGACCCUGACUCGGAUAAAAAGCCGCGCACAGGACAAAUUCUAUGGAUCCGUGGUCUAACGCGACUACAGACACAGCUUCGAGUAAUCAGAGCGUUCAAGUCGACUCUGGAAGAUUUGGAGGAGCGACGCUCUGUCCAUAGUUUACACAGCUUACACAGUAUGCGCAGCUCACGCAGCCACACCGGGCCCCGACCACUCUCUGACUUCACAUACAUUGACGAAGACCCGACAAACACCGCGCUGAACGCUGGCAAGUUGCCUAACAAGAGCGCCGAUCAGAAUCUCCUGGUGGACCAUUCAGCAGCAGCCAGGAUGCAGUCGGCUAACAACUUGACGUCGCCGUUGUUGCUCACCGUUACUGGAUCAGCCAACGCGUACAACCAUCAUAAUACCAUUAACACCACCAAUGACAAUAGAUCCUCGUCCAAUAGCGCCCUAAACCAGGCCCUGAGCCCCAACCAUACGCAGAUGCAGAGUAGCAACAGCAACAACAAAGACAGCAACACAGGAAACUCCCUGCUUCUCAGCUCCAAUAAUCUGGCUCUCCCGGAAUUGACGAAGCUCGUGCAUGAGACCAGCAUUUAAAGGCAGCUUUGCGUGUCGCCACUCUACACCCCCCUUUAGCCCUCUACCCCAUCUUCUCACAUUACUACUCUUUCUAACUUUCUAUCGAUCUUUGUCGCUUUUCAUUUUACUUUUCAUUUUCUCUCCCUCUCUCUCUCUCUCUCUCUCUCUCCCUCCCUUUCUCUUCCUUGAUUUUUCUUUUCUCCACAGAUCAUCUGUUACCUCUGUUUCAUGGCAACAAAGUGUCUUGUCUCUUUUAGUCGCGACUCUUCAUGGUCGUUCGAUGAUACUCAAUUAACUUGUCGCAGAUUUUAUUUUUUUACUUCUUGUAUUUUAACGCGAUUGCUUGCUCGAGAUGUAUCACCAGUCUUUUUUAUUUUAUUAGACUAUCGACAUUCUCUGUCCACAUUGGACGCUGUACAGUGUUAUUUACCCGCUUCUUGUACUCCGAAAGUCCAAAGGGACGUUUGUAGUUGUUUCUUACUCUUUGCAUUUUAACUGAUUACCUAACGAAGAGGAAGUUUCCUCCUGUUCUUCAAUUUUAUUCUGUGGAAAAAAUUUUAUUUCCUACUCUUGCUCUCAGAGACUUUUACUUUUAUCCCGAGGACCGUCAGUUUCUGUUUCUCUUGCUCUGAGGGACUUUUUUAAUUCGUCGUUCACUCCAUCCUCAUCUGCUUCUGGGAGAAAGAGAGAGAGCUACAAGUACUUAAGGCUCGUUUGGGAGACAGAGUACUGUUUCACGCGAGCUUCUAUCCGAAGUGAACAUAGUAUACCAGCUUUGAAAAUGUUCGUCUAGCAUGAAUUUCAAUAUAUUAGACUGCUUGUUCAGCUUCCCUCUUGUUCCUUGUCUGGGGACCGAGUAUCUUCAUUCUUAUUCAGGUGUAAUUAUUGCUCUGGCUUAAUAAUGAUAAGGAAUAAUUCCAUAUGAAAAGUCCAUGAUCAUAAUUAGUCAGAGCCUUCGUCCUUUGAUCAUUUAAUUCGUCUAUUCACCUUCCCUAAUUUAUAUCCUACCUGUGAUUAUUUUAAUAAUCAUUUAAUUGAAACGUGAUAAAGCGAAAGCUAAUUACAAAUUAUUCAAACAUUUGUUAGGCUGACUGCCUAUUAUUUGUUCGCACGUUGAUUCGGCUUAAGUACUUGCUUGCUUGAUUAAUUGUCUUCUCACAUACCAUACGUUCACCAUUUACAUGACGACCUGCUUGUUCACCAUGAGAUUGAAUCUGAACUUGUAUCCACCGUUAAUGAAACGAUUAACGUGAUUAACUCUCAUCCAGUUUUCAUAAGAAACUUUUCUAUGAACUAUAAAAUGAGUUGGGUUGAGUUGGAAUAUAGAUUCAGCGCCUCCAGUACUUAUCUUGUAUUUUCUCUUCUUGAAGCCUGCAUCUUUGUUCAGAGAAUUCUAUUCGUCAUGAAAAAUAGGCUUCUUGAAUCAACAAAAACAGUAACCCUUGCAGUCUCAUUCAUUCUGUUGCAGUCAACUCUCUUCUCUGUUAUAAUUAAUUGAUUAUUGUGACUUAUCUGAUUUGUAAUCAUCAUUGCUCACUUGUUUAGUACCUAGUGUAUACUUGGAAGUAUUAUACAGGGUGUUUGUAAAGUCUCCAUUUGUUUCAGUUACUUGUUGAGAAUUUGUAUGCGUGAUUGAUUAUGAAAACAAAGGCCUUUUUAUGCGUAUGUCUCGUUCCAUUCUGAACCAAUGGAAAUUUGAAGUAAAUCAUGUUCAAGAUUCAAGAUGUUAUUGCUGUAUAUGGUUGUUCGUUAAGCUCAGCACAAACUAAUGACAUCGGUGAUUGUUCGAAACAAUUUGAGGAUCAAGAAAAUUGUUAUAUAUAUUUAAGUUAUGAAAUUACAUUUUAGGCUGAGUUAAUGAAAUGAUUUCAAAGGGUGAUCCUCAAAUUAUUUUGAGCAACUUAUGAUAUAAAGAAUCAACAGCUAAGAAGCUACAAUGUAUACAUAGCUAUAUAAAAAUGGGUCAUUUUAUUAUUGUUAAGCGUGUUAAAUUUAAUUUUAAAUUAACAAAUAUAUUCAUUAUUGUUUUUAAGCAAUUCACACGGAGUGGUUUAAAUAAUUAUUUUAUUCUUCUAUGGAACUCUUGAUUGUGACUGUGUACGAACACCCUGUGUACCAUUUUCAGAUCUUUCAUUUUCAUGUCUGGAAAGAAAUUCUUUUAUAGCUCGGUUUCCCUACAGCUUGUUGGGGUUUCCACACUUGCUUAACAGUGCAAGACAAUUGCAUGACACUGAAAAUCAUGGGAACAGGGCUAGCAGUAAAAGGGUCGACUUGUGGACUCUAUAGUCUGCCUAUAGAGAAGCUUUCAUGAGAAGCCUUUUUUUUUUUUGUUAGAGAAAGGAGCCUCGUGAACAAAAAUGGUGAAAGGACGUACUUAAUUGCGAGAUUGAAUCUCGUCGCUGUCCUCGUCUCCCUUCCAGUUUCUCAUUCAGAAGCACAGUGAAACCUUGAUCCAUCAUUUUUCAUACUGAAUUACCAAACAGUUUCAAAUUACAAUAAGUGUUUCAAAAUAAAUAAAAGGAUCAAAGAAGGCAAAGCGAUAAGGUGAUCAAGGUUUCACUUUGUAGUUGAACCAAAAGUCACUAUAAAGGACAUCGUCAUCUUAGUUUCUUUCCACACUCCAAAGAUGGAUAGCGAACGAGGAACACAGCACUUAUAUUUUACUUGUCAUUGGUGAUACAAAGUGUCGCCUACUUAAUACACCAGGUGUGUACAUUGCACUCUAACUUCCGUUCUUGAUUAACAGGUUUUAUAAAAAAAAAAGAAUCCUCUCAGUACUCCUCUGCUUGCAUAUGAUAAACGAGGCUUUGAGGGAUUUCUUUUUGCAUUACCUUUUAAUCACAGGAAAGAUAGCGUGCACCCAGUAAGUGUACACCUUGAUUUAAAACCGAUCUCCACUGCCAGGAUUGUGCGCGAUUGGAAAACAAAAUUGAGGACAACUAAAAGGCUAAAGAUCAUUAGAAGUUAGGUCUUUUCUGAUGGCUAAGAAUUUUUCAAGUCCAGUUGCACUUGUUGAUGAAAUACGCGUUAGCAUCAGAUGAUUUUGUUAAUUCUUUGUUGAUCAGUUUGCAACUGGACUGUUGGUCGUUUCUGAAAAUCUCAUUAAAAUUUUGCUUAACUGAUAGUAAUUUUCUAUUGUGCCUCUGAUCAGGCCUUGAAAAACUUGAGCCCAGAAAUUUGAAUGCAUUGUAAUCUGUGGAUAUAGGUGCAUUGACAAAAGUACUAUAAUUUCAGUGGGUCGUUAUUGCUGUACAUAAAUCAGCCACUUUUUGCUUGUUUUAUUUUUCACGUGCUCACCUCUUGUUUCAUUUGAAAAUCCGUUAAAUAUACAAUAUGGGACAUUCGAAGGGUUCAGUUUCCAAGUGUUCCAAUCAAUGAAUUCAACAAAAGCCAUCUUGUUCCUAUCGCUGAUCCAUUCUGUAUAGGAUUCCUCGCGGUGAGAUGGAAAAGUUAAUCAGUACGCUUCGCGAUAACGAUAUUUGUUGUGGAAAAGGUAUGCCGAGAGACUUAAUAGAGAGACUUUGGCACGUGUACAUAAAACUAUUUAACAAAGUCUCGUUGCAGAAAGAAACUAUAUUUCUAAUACGCGCAGUAGGACUGAAUAAUUGCUUGCUAUAAUUUUCUUGUCAGUAUAAAGAAAAAGAAAAUACAUAUAUAAAUCUUGUGAAAAACCCUAUGUAUUCGCAAGUUACCAUCCGGUGCAGAUAUGCGUUGAAUAUACAAUAGACAAAGAUAAAAUAUUAAACGUUUUUUAAUAUUAACGCAUUAAUAAAUUAAUCUGUUACAUUGAAACGAUGAUGAUAAUUGAUUAUAACAAUUACACGUAGGGAAUAUAACAUUUAUAUAUUUAUAUAUAUUUAUAUAUACCAUACAUACAUAUAUAUAUAUAUAUAUACACAUAUAAAUAUAUAUUAUUAAUUUUUAAUUAAUUAUUAUUAGCGACUAUUAUUAUUGUUAUUAUUAUAAAAUAAAGUUUAAGACACGUUAUUCGAAUGUUAUUUGAUUAAAGCCGAUCAGUAGAGGGCAUACAAACAUUUCCAAGUAUCUUCACUACAAUUGCUUUCUAAGUACAGAUUUCAAAAUUGAAAAAUGGUAGCACAAAAAUAUAGUCAGACAGUGCAGAAGAUUAAUUUCUUUUUACCAAAUGGUGAAAAUUAUUUGAAUCACUCAGAGUGGAGAAGGUCUGCAGAAAUAAAACAGAACUCUGAUUCUUAAUGGCAAUUGUAGCUCGUCUGUAAAUUUGUCUCUGGAUCGUUUUCUAUUUGCCUUAAAUGUAUCAUUGUAACUACUACUCCAAGCGUUGUUAAAUGAUAUUUUUUUACUCACUCUUAUAUUCUGAUAAUGUUACAAAGGUAUGGAAUGUUAAGGAGAGUAUGGAAAGUUAGUCUUUUAGAGUCAGAGAGUACAGCAAAAAGAAUUUUAUUUUUUGUUUGCUUCUCACUUUAAAUUAAAUUUCACACUAUACGCUUGCACCUGUAAGGCUCUGAACAAAAGUCACCUUGGCUCUUCAAACUUCAUUUUCACUCUGGUUCUUAGCUACUACGUUCCCGUACUAAAUUCGUUAUAAGACAUUGCAUGUCAUUAAUUAUUAAUAUUAAAGGAACAUUCGAGUACCUAAUAAUAAUUCAAAAUUAAGAUCAAAGUGAAAAUGCUACUUAAAAUGAUAUAUGCACAUAUUGAUAGAAGUAUUUCUGUGGUGCUUGGCUUAUAUUAGAUAACAUAUUCUCUUGCACACAAACUCACAAUGUUCUUUCAAAGACAAAAUGAAUACUCAGGUUUACCUUCACACAAUAUUUUCAUUCCUUUUUAUGAAUGAAGAUUAUAUCAACUGUUCUUAGAGAAUAAAUUAAUCAUUAAUCAAUGUCAA